UAUACCUCUAAACAAGCUACUUUAAAUGGAAUAAUAUUUAAACUCUAGUUCCUUAGGCGCACUAGCCACGUGUCACGAGCUCAAGAGCCACCUGUCCAUAGUAGCUUUGGGCCUCACAGAGGAGCCUGGCAGGCUACAGUCCGUGGGGUCGCAGAAUCUGACACGACCGGGGGACUCAGCACAGCACAGCACAGAUACGGAACAUUUCCAUCUUUGUAGAAAGUUCUAGCGGACAGCGCUAAUACAAGGUCACCAGUUACUAAGACAUGAAUUGUUGGGAGCAGAUAAGAACCUUGGGCGUCUAUCACAGUCCUGAAUUAAUGGUAGAUAUUUUUCACACAGUAACCAGCAAACCCCUCUUUAACACGAACUUUUCAGUGGGUGCGGAGUAAAACCCAGACUCUCUUUGGUGCUCACAUGUUAUCCUGUAGUUAACCUGGCUGCUGCGACUUCCUCAUUCUACUUGGGUCUCCCGGGCACUGAGCUCUAGCCACACAGACUCCUCCCUGUAUUUCCGCCCCCGGCCGGCUCCCUCACACCUCAGGGCCUUUGCACUUGCUGAGAGCCUGGAAUGCUCCUGCUCUCAAGUCUCCGCUAAAUUUUCAACUGGAACACCUUUCCUCUACUCCAUGCAGUGUCAGCCUCCAUUAGGGACUCUGGUCAUGAAGGAGAUUUUCCUUUCUUAAAACUUAACACAGCCAGUAAUUAGCUUGUUUUUCUAGUUGUUUAUUGCCUGUCUUCCCUUAGAAUGUAAGCAUCAUGGGGAAAGGCUCUUUGGCUGUAAACCCCUGUAUCCUCACUUCUAGCUCAGUGCCUGGUACAUUAGCUGUUGUUGUUUAAUCACUUAAGUCAUGUCUGACUCUUGCCGCCCUAUGGACUGCAGCCUUCCAGGCUCCUCUGUCCAUGGGAUUCUCCAGGCAAGAAUACUGGAGUGGGCUGUCAUUUUCUUCUCCAGGGGAUCUUCCAACCCAGGAGUGGAACCCACAUCUCCUGUUUGGCAGGCAGAAGACGCCUGGCUUAACCCCGCUGUUUCAAAGGAGGUUUUGAGAUUCGAGCUCCAUCAACCUAUUAUGUAACACUUUAAUUUGCACAAUAAAAUAAAGGAUAGAAACUUCGGUUACCGUUUC
ensembl:lncRNA